UGCCCUUCUGGGUAGAUCUCCACCCUUGUAAAUAUAACUAUCUGUUGCUUUGGCGGAUCGUUCCGGACGUUAAGUCGUCGGAUAGCCGCCAGAGGAUCUUGAAACUCUGAAUUUUAGUGUCGUCUGAGUACUAUAAAAUAGUUAAAACUUUCAACAACGGAUCUCUUGGUUCUGGCAUCGAUGAAGAACGCAGCGAAAUGCGAUAAGUAAUGUGAAUUGCAGAAUUCAGUGAAUCAUCGAAUCUUUGAACGCACAUUGCGCCCCUUGGUAUUCCGGGGGGCAUGCCUGUUCGAGCGUCAUUAUAACCAAUCCAGCCUGGCUGGGUGUUGGGUCUCGCCUUCCCGGCGGGCCUUAAAAUUAGUGGCGGUGCUCUUAGGCUCUACGCGUAGUAAUUUUCUCGCUAUAGGGUCCUAGGAGAUGCUAGCCAACAACCCCUAAUUUCUUAGGUUGACCUCGGAUCAGG
rnacentral:sRNA from 1 species